UCCUCCCUCUUUCUUCGUGCUUAACACAUGCAAGUCGAACGGAAAGGCCCUGCUUUUGUGGGGUGCUCGAGUGGCGAACGGGUGAGUAACACGUGAGUAACCUGCCCUUGACUUUGGGAUAACUUCAGGAAACUGGGGCUAAUACCGGAUAGGAGCUCCUGCUGCAUGGUGGGGGUUGGAAAGUUUCGGCGGUUGGGGAUGGACUCGCGGCUUAUCAGCUUGUUGGUGGGGUAGUGGCUUACCAAGGCUUUGACGGGUAGCCGGCCUGAGAGGGUGACCGGCCACAUUGGGACUGAGAUACGGACCAGACUCCUACGGGAGGCAGCAGUGGGGAAUAUUGCACAAUGGGCGGAAGCCUGAUGCAGCAACGCCGCGUGCGGGAUGACGGCCUUCGGGUUGUAAACCGCUUUCGCCUGUGACGACGCGUGAGUGACGGUAAUGGGUAAAGAAGCACCGGCUAACUACGUG
rnacentral:rRNA from 1 species